rnacentral:rRNA from 1 species
GACGAACGCUGGCGGCGUGCUUAACACAUGCAAGUCGAACGGAAAGGCCCUGCUUUUGUGGGGUGCUCGAGUGCGAACGGGUGAGUAACACGUGAGUAACCUGCCCUUGACUUUGGGAUAACUUCAGGAAACUGGGGCUAAUACCGGAUUGGAGCUCCUGCUGCAUGGUGGGGGUUGGAAAGUUUCGGCGGUUGGGGAUGGACUCGCGGCUUAUCAGCUUGUUGGUGGGGUAGUGGCUUACCAAGGCUUUGACGGGUAGCCGGCCUGAGAGGGUGACCGGCCACAUUGGGACUGAGAUACGGCCCAGACUCCUACGGGAGGCAGCAGUGGGGAAUAUUGCACAAUGGGCGGAAGCCUGAUGCAGCAACGCCGCGUGCGGGAUGACGGCCUUCGGGUUGUAAACCGCUUUCGCCUGUGACGAAGCGUGAGUGACGGUAAUGGGUAAAGAAGCACCGGCUAACUACGUG